AAACCGAUUACGGAAAGAAGGCAAGGUGCCGUCGGAUGUGACGCGAUUCCCUCCCCAGAAUGAAAGCAAAAGCCAUUCCCCCUCCUCCACUCUCUUCGUUCUUAAAGAGGGCAGCGCCAGGGCAAGGCCAACUCCACUGGUUUCUUUUGUUCUCUCUUUCUACAAUGUCGUCCUCAUCGUCCACUUCUUAUGGGAGUGAGGAGGAGGGGGAGAUAAGCAGCGGCGACCUGACUGCGCUCCAGAAGCACGUCGUCUUCUUCGAUCGGAACAAGGACGGCAUCAUCUAUCCAUGGGAGACCUUCCGAGGGUUCCGUGCGAUUGGGUGCGGCGUUGCCCUCUCCACCGUGAGCGCCGUCGUGAUUAACGGCUUCAUCGGCCCCAAAACUCGCACAGGAAAAAUACCUUCACCCCUUCUCCCUAUUCAUGUAAAGAACAUCCAUAAAGGCAAACAUGGAAGUGAUUCGGGCGUCUAUGAUAAUGAGGGGAGGUUUGUUCCUGAAAAAUUUGAGGAGAUAUUUAAGAAGCAUGCUCAUACCAAUCCUAAUGCAUUGACAUCGAAAGAGUUGAAGGAGAUGCUUCAGGCGAACCGAGUUCCUAAAGACUGCGGGGGAUGGAUUGCUAGCUGGGCAGAAUGGAAGAUCCUAUACGCCCUCUGUAAGGAUAAAGAUGGAUUGCUUCACAAGGAUACCAUGAGAGCUGUCUAUGAUGGAAGCUUAUUUCUUCAGAUGGAGAAGGCCAGGGAGUCUUCUCAAAAGAAAGCAAAGAAAGCAUGAUGGUGGAUUAAUAGGAGAAUGGAUUGUGUGAUAGUCUGAUCUAUGCAAUUUGGAAAAGGAACGACUCUGCUAUGGAUGGUUGGAUUGCCUGUUGAAUGCGCUCCCAUGAGGCCAAGGCAGUUUAAGCUUCCUCUAUAUCAACCCCAAACAGUGCUUAAAUUGCUUUACGGAUACUAGUCUCCAGCAAGGGCCAAAAAACAGAAAAGCAGUGAGCAUAUAAAGAUCUUUCAGCUAUUUUUAAGCUUGUUGCAACUGUUCUAUUUAAGAAAAAUAAAUGAAGAUGGAAAAGAAUAGGAUAGAGAAGGGAAUGGUCUGAUAAGGCAGUGGACCUUGUUUAAUUUCUCAAAGAAAUUUCAAUUGAUUUCUUAAUCCUACAUCAUACAACUUAAUGACCUUUCCCUUAUUACUAAAAAUCAUGUUGAUAUGUUGGUUGAAGGUGAACAAUACCUCAUUCUAAACCCAAGAGAAAUUUAAUCUAAAAGA